rnacentral:lncRNA from 1 species
GGGUGGGGUGUUGUGGUUCCUGGCUGAUCUGUAAGGUGUUCUCUCCCCAGAUGUCAGCACAGCACAUUGACAGAAGGGUUGAGUAGUCACCACAGGAUGCAUAAAGAUGAAGCAGAGAGGCUCUCAAGACAGAGCUCUGUAUAACUCAUGGGCACUUAGUCACAUCUUCAAUGAAGUUGUUCUUAUUCAGAGGUUUGGACCCUAAAGCCCUGGUUUUUAAAAGUGUGAAAACAUGUCCUUCAGUUCAUUCUUCCCUCUUUCUUUCACUCAUAAAGAUUUAUGUUUUAAUUCUGAAGUAUUUUAAUUUAAACUGGUACGUGCCCAUUCUGUUGGGUAAUUCUCUAAAUAUUUGAAUUAUUUAAGUGGGAAACCAGAAGUAGAUCAAUGUAAAUGUGUGUUACAUAUUUGGGCCAAUAAAGGCAGAUGACAUGUUACCAUACUUUUAUACUGAUAUUUUUGUUUUAGUUAAUCUUAGGUUCGGAUAUCUUACUAUCUUUUGAUUGGUUUUUUUUUUUUUUUAACUUGGUGACUCUGGCUUUUUCAAUGACUUUUACAUCAAUUAAGGCCAGUUUUUUAAUUAAAGGGGAGAAAACAGGCUUUCUGGUGAAGCGUGAGGUGUCAGGGUUGCCUGAGCAAUGGCUUAUUAUUGAGAUAAUGUUUUUGUUCGGUUGUGUUUUUUUACGAUUUAUUAUUUUUACUUCGUGUGUAGGAGUGGUUUCCUGCAUGUAUUAUAUGCACUGUGCAUUUGCCUGCUGCCCACAUCGGCCAGCAGAAGGCGCUGGAUUCCCCACCACCAAGUGGGUGCUGGAACUAAAUUCAUGCCUUAUGGUAGAUAGAGCAGCAAAUGCCCUUUCUUAUCCACUGAGCCAUCUCUCCAGCCUCAUGUUUUCUUAAUUUUGGUUUAUUGAUUUAUUUAUUUUAAUUUUUCUUGUUAUUGUACCAAAACCUGUUUGUUUUCUUUCCCUAUUAUGAAGAAUUCUCUAUCCUAAGAAGUUUUUCUCUCAGUUUUGGAACCCCAUACUGUCUAUGUUUUAAUAUAAACAUAGACAGUAAGAUCAUCUUGCUUAAUUCAAGUUAACUAUGGCUACAAGUCUAUAAAGGUCGUUUUCGGUAAAACAGUUGAUAAGUUUCAGUGACUUUACAGCUUUAUACAUUAACAGUGAAAUACAAAGUUCCUAAUAACCUUUUAUUAGUAGUAGUUAGUGGGCUUCCAGCUAUGAUGUGCCAUGUGAUUCUCUAGCCAUGAUAAUGCUCAGCUGGAAAAAGUAUACUAUUAACAUCAUCAAAGCUGUACAUUAAAUGUGCCUUUCAUCUCAGCACCUAGAGGUAGAGGCAGGUGGAUCUCUGUGUGUUGGAGACCAUCUUGGUCCUUGUAGUGAGUUUCAGGGCAACCAGUAUUACAUAGUGAAUCCUUAACUC